GAUGAACGCUGGCGGCGUGCCUAAUACAUGCAAGUCGAACGAUCAGACGAGGAGCUUGCUCCUCUGACGUUAGCGGCGGACGGGUGAGUAACACGUGGAUAACCUACCUAUAAGAGUGGGAUAACUUCGGGAAACCGUAGCUAAUACCGCAUAAUAUAUUGAACCGCAUGGUUCAUAAUUGAAAGACGGUUUUGCUGUACUACAUGAUUGAACUGCCUCGUAUUUGCUAGUGGGUAAGGGAAAGGCUUACCAAGGGAACGAGACGUAGCCGACCUGGGAGGGUAAUCGGCAACACUGGAACUGGAACACGGUCCAGACUCCUACGGGAGCAAGCGUAGGGGAACCUUCGGCAUGGGGCGAAAGCCUGACGGAGCAAGGCGGCGUGGGGGAUGAAGGUCUUCGAAUCUUAAGACUCGGUUAUUGGGGAGGAAGAAAUGUGUAGGGAAAUGUGCACGUCUUGACGGUACCUAAUCAGAAAGCCACGGCUAACUACGUG
rnacentral:rRNA from 1 species